CCACGUGGGGGCCACAUGAGGGGGGAACACGGGGCUCCCCUGCCAGAUAUUGUCCGGUUCUGGGGCUUCACGCAAGCGUCCUUCACCCCUCCCCAGUUUUGUUUUCCACCCAAAACGCGUCUGCAGGAUUAGGAGACACCCACCUCAUAUGCCCAGGCUCUGGAACGAGUCUUUCCAAUGUGGGACUAUUGGGCCUCACACCCUUCCCACCAUCGGA
rnacentral:lncRNA from 1 species